rnacentral:rRNA from 1 species
UACGAAGGGGGCUAGCGUUGCUCGGAAUCACUGGGCGUAAAGGGUGCGUAGGCGGGUCUUUUAAGUCAGGGGUGAAAUCCUGGAGCUCAACUCCAGAACUGCCUUUGAUACUGAGGAUCUUGAGUUCGGGAGAGGUGAGUGGAACUGCGAGUGUAGAGGUGAAAUUCGUAGAUAUUCGCAAGAACACCAGUGGCGAAGGCGGCUCACUGGCCCGGUACUGACGCUGAGGAGCGAAAGCAUGGGGAGCGAACAGG